rnacentral:rRNA from 1 species
AGUGAACGCUGGCGGUAGGCCUAACACAUGCAAGUCGAACGGCAGCACAGUAAGCGCUUGCUCUUACGGGUGGCGAGUGGCGGACGGGUGAGGCAUACAUCGGAAUCUACUUUUUCGUGGGUGAUAACGUAGGGCCACUUACGCUAAUACCUCAUACGACCUACGGGUGAAAGCAGUGGAUCUUCGGACCUUUCGCGAUUGAAUGAGCCGAUGUCGGAUUAGCUAGUUGGCGGGGUAAAGGCCCACCAAGGCGACGAUCCGUAGCUGGUCUGAGAGGAUGAUCAGCCACACUGGAACUGAGACACGGUCCAGACUCCUACGGGAGGCAGCAGUGGGGAAUAUUGGACAAUGGGCGCAAGCCUGAUCCAGCCAUACCGCGUGGGUGAAGAAGGCCUUCGGGUUGUAAAGCCCUUUUGUUGGGAAAGAAAAGCAGCAGGUUAAUACCCCGCUGUUCUGACGGUACCCAAAGAAUAAGCACCGGCUAACUUCGUG